rnacentral:rRNA from 1 species
ACGUUAGUGGCGCACGGGUGAGUAACACGUGGGAACCUGUCUUUCGGUACGGAAAAACGGAGGGAAACUUCCGCUAAUACCGUAUACGCCCCUAGGGGGAAAGAUUUAUCGCCGAAAGAGGGGCCCGCGUCUGAUUAGCUAGUUGGUGAGGUAAAGGCUCACCAAGGCGACGAUCAGUAGCUGGUCUGAGAGGACGAUCAGCCACACUGGGACUGAGACACGGCCCAGACUCCUACGGGAGGCAGCAGUGGGGAAUAUUGGACAAUGGGGGCAACCCUGAUCCAGCCAUGCCGCGUGAGUGAUGAAGGGCUUCGGGUUGUAAAGCUCUUUCGCACGCGACGAUGAUGACGGUAGCGUGAGAAGAAGCCCCGGCUAACUUCGUGCCAGCAGCCGCGGUAAUACGAAGGGGGCUAGCGUUGUUCGGAUUUACUGGGCGUAAAGCGCACGCAGGCGGUCUUUUUAGUCAGAAGUGAAAGUCCUGGGCUCAACCUGGGGAUUGCUUUUGAUACUGGAAGACUAGGGUUCGCGAGAGGAUGGCGGAAUUCCCAGUGUAGAGGUGAAAUUCGUAGAUAUUGGGAAGAACACCGGUGGCGAAGGCGGCCAUCUGGCGCGAUACCG